rnacentral:rRNA from 1 species
GAUGAACGCUGGCGGCGUGCCUAAUACAUGCAAGUCGAACGCAUAGCGAAAGGUGCUUGCACCUUUCAAGUGAGUGGCGAACGGGUGAGUAACACGUGGACAACCUGCCUCAAGGCUGGGGAUAACAUUUGGAAACAGAUGCUAAUACCGAAUAAAACUUAGUGUCGCAUGACACAAAGUUAAAAGGCGCUUCGGCGUCACCUAGAGAUGGAUCCGCGGUGCAUUAGUUAGUUGGUGGGGUAAAGGCCUACCAAGACAAUGAUGCAUAGCCGAGUUGAGAGACUGAUCGGCCACAUUGGGACUGAGACACGGCCCAAACUCCUACGGGAGGCUGCAGUAGGGAAUCUUCCACAAUGGGCGAAAGCCUGAUGGAGCAACGCCGCGUGUGUGAUGAAGGCUUUCGGGUCGUAAAGCACUGUUGUAUGGGAAGAACAGCUAGAAUAGGAAAUGAUUUUAGUUUGACGGUACCAUACCAGAAAGGGACGGCUAAAUA